UAUAUAGAUAUAUAUAUAUAUAUAGAUAGAUAGAUAGAUAGAUAUAUAGUAUAUGUACAUAAACUCAAUCAGUUUCCGACAAGCUUUUUACAAUGGAAAAAAAAAAAAAUAAAUUCACUGUCACGGCGUGUCAAAAUGCUGCAGAUGAGAGAAGCGCUCAGUCCACAGGACCACAGCGAUAGUGCCUGGUGAUAUUCAGACAAACAGCGCAGAGGCGGCAUCAGAGAGAAGCAGAGCAUCGUCACGUGCUUUCAGUUCCAGUUGAGAUGACUAAAAAAAAAAAAAAACAUCACAUGAUCGAACAUGGAAAAUGAAGAGCUCUAGUUAUAAGUUAAUGGUGCCGAAACCCGGGAUUCCUGAGAAUUCCUGAAAAUAAAUGUUUAUAGAGUCAUCGGCAUCACCUUCAUCAACACUAUAAUUCUUGCCAUCAUCAGAACGGGGAAGAGGGAGCUGCCGGCCACAAAGGAGUAGGGGGUAAAGCACCUCCCACCAUGGCCUCCACCAUGGACACCUUGUUCCCCCUCUUCCAGGACUUUGAGACUGAGGAGGGAGGUAGUCGUUGGGGCCAUGUGUGCUUCGCACAGGAGGGGUAUA